GGUUGGGUAGCUCCAAUGGUAGAGCAGCGGUUUGAAGCAUCGCCUGUGCAGGUUCGAAUCCUGCCCCAUCCA
rnacentral:tRNA from 1 species